rnacentral:rRNA from 1 species
GACGAACGCUGGCGGCGUGCUUAACACAUGCAAGUCGAACGGAAAGGCCCUGCUUUUGUGGGGUGCUCGAGUGGCGAACGGGUGAGUAACACGUGAGUAACCUGCCCUUGACUUUGGGAUAACUUCAGGAAACUUGGGCUAAUACCGGAUAGGAGCUCCUGCUGCAUGGUGGGGGUUGGAAAGUUUCGGCGGUUGGGGAUGGACUCGCGGCUUAUCAGCUUGUUGGUGGGGUAGUGGCUUACCAAGGCUUUGACGGGUAGCCGGCCUGAGAGGGUGACCGGCCAAAUUGGGACGGAGAUACGGCCCAGACUCCUACGGGAGGAAGCAGUGGGGAAUAUUGCAAAAUGGGCGGAAGCCUGAUGCAGCAACGCCGCGUGCGGGAUGACGGCCUUCGGGUUGUAAACCGCUUUCGCCUGUGACGAAGCGUGAGUGACGGUAAUGGGUAAAGAAGCACCGGCUAACUACGUG